GAAAUAAUCAAUGGGGUCCCUGGACCUGGAAAUCCGGAAUAAGCACCCAGUCCUAACCCAAACGAAACAACUCUACAUUUGUCGUCAGCCACCCGAUCCCGGAAACGGCACUGAGCAUUUACCACGCUGGUUUUAUCAUUAUUCUGAAAAAGUAUGCAAAAUCUUCAUUUAUACGGGCCACGGCGGCAACGAUAAUCGAUUCACCACAGAAAGACACUGUGUUUAUGGAUGCGUACCACCUGGACCUACGCACAAACUUGUUUGCAGCCGUAAUCCAUACGUACAACACUGUUUGCAUGGCCCGCACUGGUUCUUCAAUUACUCAUUGUGUACCUGCCAGAAACU